CAUCCCAUAGCACAUGUCCAUGUCAUGUGUUACUUUCUGCAACAGACAAGAGACUGAAUUCUAGUAGUUGUUGGGUGCUGGCUAUGUGCCCAUCCUUGUAUCACAGGAUAAAGACAAAAAUCACAACUUUAUUUUCCAAGAUCUCUCCCAAAUCCCAUUUGGAUACCUUAAUACGUCUCUGGAUGGAACUAAUGUCAGGGCGCUCAUUGCUGCUGCUAUCAAGGUGCCUGGAGGCGAAAAAAGAAAACUCCACUGAAAAUCUCUGGGAAAGAGGUCUCUUAGACCUAGCUGAUUCUCAAAGAGGUAGAUGGUUUUAGGGAAGAAAUGUUUAUCUUUAGAAUCUGGAAACUUACUUGUAGAGUUCAGCCAAGAAAAUAUCCAAGCUCUGAAGCUCUUCGAAAAGUGCUAAAGUUUGGAAGGAAAAGAAAAAUGUUUUCAACAAAAAGCAUUCAGGUUUUAACUCUUCCUGAAACUAAAAGGCUGCAGCUAUGACUGAAAGGUAAAGCUAUGGUGAGUGUACAAAAUGACUUUAUUCUCCUGCUUGGGAUCUGGCAGCAAGUGAAAGCCACGAUUCCUUCUUCUACUUCAACACAGCUAGCUACAACUCUUCUUUCCCAAUGGAUGCUAAGUGCUAAUUUGUAUCCCAUCGGAGGUGUGUUGCAGCAAAACAAGUGUUAACAGUUCCAUUUUCAGAUCAAAGAAUGAGGAUUAGGGGACGUGUCCAGAGUCACAAAUCCAGGAAACAGAGCCAAAUCAACUAGACUAACAGAAUUUCAGAGGUAGAAAGUUGAAAACGGGCAUGAAGGACCAGCCAGAAAAUCCCACCAAGGACAAGCAACAGCCAGCAGCUGUUGCCUGUUUUGUUGGGGUUCUGGCCUUUCUCAACCUGGGUUCCCCAGAGAGAAGCCCUAAUGUAUAUACUGUUUUAACAAAUUUUCUUUACCUACCGAGAGUCACCUAAUCAAUUUCUCUGUUCUGUGGAUCAGAUGAGGAGCCUAGGUUGAGAAAGGUUUUAAGUCUCAACUUUAUAAAGUAGGUAUUAUCCUCAUUUUCAUAUUUGAGGAAACUAACCCACAGUAACUUGACUAAGGGCAUGAAGGUAUUAGGUAGUAGAGCUGGGGUAACUACCUGACGCAGUACCUCUCCCCACACUGUGGGUGAUGCUAGCUAGGACUGGCUGGAGAAUUUACGGGUCAAACGGGUUUACAUAACUAGACCUACAGCUCAAUUCCAUGUACAGUUCAGAGGAUACAAUUUGGCCUCAUUCUCUACUUCUCAGAAGAGCAGGAAAAAAAAAGGGAUGUAAUUACCACUCAAAGUCAUCAAUGCCCCCAACAUCACAGAGGCUGGUGGCAGAGAGACAGGGAACUAGUAUGUGUGGUUGGAAAAUAUGGGACUACAAAAGGAAGUAGAAUUCACAGUUUAGUUGCUAUAGUAAUAGAACUCAGGAUAGCAAUAUUCUGUCCUUAACCCUGAAAGAAUGCAAGAGAAAGGCUGAACACCCAAACCUCUCCUAUUUCCUCAAAUUCUGGAGUUCUGUAAAAUAUCUGGCUGGAGGGAAGUAUCUUUGACUACCUCUGCCUCCUCUCCCUUUCUCCCCACAUACGAAGUAAUGAGUUCAUCCAAGAGGACUGAUUCAUACAGCUGGAUAUAAAAUAGGAGUAAUGGCUCCUUACAGCUCUUAUCAGUCCAGACGUGCAGCUCCUGUGCAAGUUCAGGAAUCACCAAGAAAGUUCGCCACCCUUGUCGUUUCUUUGAUUUUAAAAUGUCCCCAAAAAUGUGAUCUCCGAUAUACAAAAUGUCCUUGCCCUUAGCUCCCAAGAGAUCACAGACUGUAUCAGAUGAACCUGAAACAAGGGAAUGAACAAUGGGAAAACAAAAAUGUCUCCAUAUUAAAAACGAGAAUCCUAAGUACCAUAACCAUUAGAUACUGUACUGAUUAAUUUUAUUCUUAUGCAAGGAACAGACUAGAAAAAGGGCUCACCUUAAAGACCCACCAUUGUUUUUCUUUCAUCAUUCCUUUUAUUGCCUCUAACGCAAGGCCUUCAGCUCCACUGUGCUAACCAGAGCUCUUGAUAACCAAAUCCAAGAGCAACAAAACUACAUGUCUCAGCUUUAGUAAGUAUAAUUCUCCCAAAGCACAGCCAUUUCUCAUCACAGAAGAUCUGACAUUAAUUUUGUUUUGUUCAACAAUUUCUCACUGCAACAAAAUAUGCAUCAGUGUCCACAGGGGCUCCUAGAGGACCCCUUUGAGAACCACCUCAAAUCAUUCCAGGACACUGAGAAAAAGUCUCAAAUACGUAAAAGGAUGAGGAAACACUGAUCCUUUUAGUGAAAAUCAAAGAUUCGUUAGAACAUACUAACAACUUCUCAAACCUGUUCUCCCUGACUCCUACUGCAUUAGCAGGUGACUAAAGCAGUUACCUUCGGGAGACAGUAUCUUCAGAAUACUAAAGUAUAACUAGCACUCUGCCAGGAGGACACCAAAGCUUUCACGAUGAAAUCUGAACAAAGACUUAAACUAAAUAAAGGGAAAUCUGUGACUCAC